ACCCGUAAAUUUAAAUUUCCUUUAUUUGAUAAAUUUUAUGUGGAAUUAUGCUUUCAAAUAUGAAUAGUGACGUAAGUUGUGGUAUUUUGGGGCCCAAUGUGGAAGGAAUUGGUGAUUGAGAAAAAAAUUAGUUAAUGCUUUAAGUGUUGUAGGGUGAAAUGUGUAAUAUACAUGUAUAUAGAGAGAGAGUUGAGUACAGGAGAAGAUUCACUCCCCAUUCUCUCACGCCAUCCCUCUCUCUCUCUCUCUCUCUCUCUCUCUCUCUCUCUCUCUCUCUCUCCUGCGCUUUCACCCACUCUCUCACUAAAAUCUUGCUCACACACCUCAAACCCUUGAAGAUCCUUCACAUAUCCUUCACCAAUGGUUGAUUUCUAGUCAUUGAGGUUGUUAAUCUUGCUUGGAGGAGGUUUGUUGGAAGACUUGAAGCUAGGGUUUGGGUUUGAAGCUUUGGGUUUGCUCUCAAGCUUGAGAUCUUGCAGAAAUUCCCUAGGACUCUACAAAGCUCCGUUUUGGUUGAUUCUUGCGCCAAAAGUUCCGUGUUUGAGUCUACUAUCUAGGAAAAAUAUGAACAUAAAUUCAUACUGAUAAAUUAAAACCAGAAACGUCCAUUAUCCAAUCUGUAUUCCAGAUCUGGAUGUCCUGUUUUUGUUCCCAGACAGCAGUUUG